GUGGCGGACGGGUGAGGAACGCGUGAGAACCUGCCUCAAGGUCAGGGACAACAGUUGGAAACGACUGCUAAUACCGGAUGAGCCUUCGGGUAAAAGAUUUAUCGCCUAGAGAGGGGCUCGCGUCUGAUUAGCUAGAUGGUGAGGUAAAGGCUUACCAUGGCGACGAUCAGUAGCUGGUCUGAGAGGAUGAGCAGCCACACUGGGACUGAGACACGGCCCAGACUCCUACGGGAGGCAGCAGUGGGGAAUUUUCCGCAAUGGGCGAAAGCCUGACGGAGCAAUACCGCGUGAGGGAGGAAGGCUCUUGGGUUGUAAACCUCAAAACUUAUGGAAGAAAAAAAUGACGGUACCUAAUGUAAGCAUCGGCUAACUCCGUGCCAGCAGCCGCGGUAAUACGGAGGAUGCAAGCGUUAUCCGGAAUCAUUGGGCGUAAAGAGUCCGUAGGUGGCACUUCAAGUCUGCUUUCAAAGACCGAAGCUCAACUUCGGAAAGGGAGUGGAAACUGAAGAGCUAGAGUAUAGUAGGGGUAGAGGGAAUUCCUAGUGUAGCGGUGAAAUGCGUAGAGAUUAGGAAGAACACCAGUGGCGAAGGCGCUCUACUGGGCAUAUACUGACACUGAGGGACGAAAGCUAGGGGAGCGAAAGGGAUUAGAUACCCCUGUAGUCCUA
rnacentral:rRNA from 1 species